UACAGUUCACAGUUUCGGGGUGAUGAUGGAAGUGUUACUGCAUUUGGUUUUGCUUUUGAUCAUUUCAUCUGUUAGUGGUCAGUCUUUAACCUCCUCAGAUUCUGUGGUGAAAAAGCCUGGAGAAUCAGUGACUCUGUCCUGCACUGUUUCUGGAUUCUCAAUGAGCAGCUACUGGAUGCACUGGAUCCGUCAGAAACCAGGGAAAGCUCUGGAGUGGAUUGGAUUUAUAGACACUGGCUCAACUGUGUAUUAUGCUCAGUCUCUACAGGGACAGUUCUCCAUCACCAAAGACACCAGCAAAAACAUGCUGCAUUUAGAGGUGAAAAGCCUGAAGACUGAAGACACAGCUGUUUAUUACUGUGCUAGAGACUCACAGUUACUCAAAAGACUGCAGGACCUGACAAAAACUAUUCAUGCAUCACAUCACAAUAGCAAUUCUACAUUUACAUUCAGCAGAUGCUUUUAUUCAAAACAACUUAGUCAUUCAGAACUAAUUCAUAAUUAUGAUAAAAUUAUAAAAAUGUACCAGUUUAUCAAUAACCACAUUAUUAACAUGUGA